UCCUGGGCGCAGUGUUCCAGCUGCAGUACACCUGGUCCCGCUAUUUGAAUCUCGCUGAUCGGCACCAUGGGGGUGGUGGUGAUCAGCGCUAUUCAGGUAGCGGGACCAGGUGUACUGCAGCCGGAACACUGCCAGGA
rnacentral:pre_miRNA from 1 species